rnacentral:rRNA from 1 species
AACGAACGCUGGCGGCAGGCCUAACACAUGCAAGUCGAACGCUGCAGCAAUGCAGAGUGGCAGACGGGUGAGUAACACGUGGGAAUCGUCCUAUCGGUACGGAAUAGCUCAGGGAAACUUGGGGUAAUACCGUAUACGCCCUUACGGGGAAAGAUUUAUUGCCGAAGGAUGAGCCCGCGUCUGAUUAGCUAGUUGGUGAGGUAAUGGCUCACCAAGGCGACGAUCAGUAGCUGGUCUGAGAGGAUGACCAGCAACACUGGGACUGAGACACGGGCCAGACUCCUACGGGAGGCAGCAGUGGGGAAUAUUGGACAAUGGGCGCAAGCCUGAUCCAGCCAUGCCGCGUGAGUGACGAAGGUCUUCGGAUUGUAAAGCUCUUUUGGCGGGGACGAUAAUGACGGUACCCGCAGAAUAAGCCCCGGCUAACUUCGUGCCAGCCGCCGCCGUAA